rnacentral:rRNA from 1 species
UACGAAGGGGGCUAGCGUUGUUCGGAAUUACUGGGCGUAAAGCGCACGUAGGCGGACUCUUAAGUCGGUGGUGAAAUCCUGGAGCUCAACUGCAGAACUGCCUUCGAUACUGAGAGUCUCGAGUCCGAGAGAGGUGAGUGGAACUGCGAGUGUAGAGGUGAAAUUCGUAGAUAUUCGCAAGAACACCAGUGGCGAAGGCGGCUCACUGGCUCGGUACUGACGCUGAGGUGCGAAAGCGUGGGGAGCAAACAGG